rnacentral:rRNA from 1 species
UUGACCUCAAAUCAGGUAGGACUACCCGCUGAACUUAAGCAUAUCAAUAAGCGGAGGAAAAGAAACUAACAAGGAUUCCCCUAGUAACUGCGAGUGAAGCGGGAAAAGCUCAAAUUUGAAAUCUGGCAGUCUUUUUUUUCUUCUUUGGCUGUCCGAGUUGUAAUCUAGAGAAGUGCUUACCUGCGCUGGACCAUGUACAAGUCUCCUGGAAUGGAGCGUCACAGAGGGUGAGAAUCCCGUCUUUGACAUGGACUGCCAGUGUGCUGUGGUGUGCUCUCAAAGAGUCGAGUUGUUUGGGAAUGCAGCUCUAAACGGGUGGUAAACUCCAUCUAAAGCUAAACAUUGGCGAGAGACCGAUAGCGAACAAGUACCGUGAGGGAAAGAUGAAAAGGACUUUGGAAAGAGAGUUAAACAGUAUGUGAAAUUGUUGAAAGGGAAACGCUUGAAGUCAGUUGUGUCGGCUGGGGAUCAACCUAGCUGUUUUGCUGGGCGAUUUUCCUAGUCUGACAGGCCAACAUCAGUCUUGGCUGCUGGAAAAGAGCGGGGGGAAUGUGGCACCUUUGGGUGUGUUUAUAGCCCUUUGUCAUAUGCAGUGGUUGGGACUGAGGGAUGCAGUGUGCUGUGAGGCCGGGUUUUGACCACGUUCACGCUUGGGAUGUUGGCUUUUAAUGGCUUCAAUCGACCCGUCUUGAAACACGGACCAAGGAGUCUAACAUGCCUGCGAGUGUUUGGGUGGGGAAAACCCUUGCGCGCAAUGAAAGUGAAAGUUGAGAUCCCUGUCAUGGGGAGCAUCGACGCCCGGACUUGAGCUUUCAGCAACGGAUCCGCGGUAGAGCAUGCAUGUUGGGACCCGAAAGAUGGUGAACUAUGCCUGAAUAGGGCAAAGCCAGAGGAAACUCUGGUGGAGGCUCGUAGCGAUUCUGACGUGCAAAUCGAUCGUCAAAUUUGGGUAUAGGGGCGAAAGACUAAUCGAACCAUCUAGUAGCUGGGGCGAAAGACUAAUCGAACCA